UACGUAGGUGACAAGCGUUGUCCGGAUUUACUGGGCGUAAAGAGCGCGCAGGCGGUCGAUCAAGUCGAGUGUGAAAGCCCCCGGCUCAACUGGGGAGGGUCAUUCGAUACUGAUCGACUCGAAGGCAGGAGAGGGUAGUGGAAUUCCCGGUGUAGUGGUGAAAUGCGUAGAUAUCGGGAGGAACACCGGUGGCGAAGGCGGCCCCCUGGACCGGUACUGACGCUGAGGCGCGAAAGCGUGGGUAGCAAACGGG
rnacentral:rRNA from 1 species